CAGCCGCCGCGGGAAUACGUAGGUCCCGAGCGUUGUCCGGAUUUAUUGGGCGUAAAGGGAGCGCAGGCGGUUUAGUAAGUCUGAAGUUAAAGGCAUUGGCUCAACCAAUGUAUGCUUUGGAAACUGCUAGACUUGAGUGCAGAAGGGGAGAGUGGAAUUCCAUGUGUAGCGGUGAAAUGCGUGGAGAUCAAGAGGAACACUCGUGGCGAAAGCGAGCUACUGGACAAUAACUGACGCUGAGGCUCGAAGGCCAGGGUAGCGAAAGGGAUUAGAUACCCCCGUAGUCCCUGUCUCUUAUACA
rnacentral:rRNA from 1 species